rnacentral:rRNA from 1 species
UGGCGGCGUGCCUAACACAUGCAAGUCGAACGAGAAAAUGGAGCAAUCCAUGAGUAAAGUGGCGACCGGGUGAGUAACACGUGACUAACCUACCUCCGAGUGGGGAAUAACUCCGGGAAACCGGGGCUAAUACCGCAUAACAUCGCAAGAUCAAAGCAGCAAUGCGCUUGGAGAGGGGGUCGCGGCUGAUUAGCUAGUUGGCGGGGUAACGGCCCACCAAGGCGAAGAUCGGUAUCCGGCCUGAGAGGGCGCACGGACACACUGGAACUGAAACACGGUCCAGACUCCUACGGGAGGCAGCAGUGGGGAAUUUUGCGCAAUGGGGGAAACCCUGACGCAGCAACGCCGCGUGGAGGAUGAAGCCCUUUGGGGCGUAAACUCCUUUCGACUCGGACGAUAAUGACGGUACGAGUGGAAGAAGCACCGGCUAACUCUGUGCCAGCAGCCGCGGUAAUACAGAGGGUGCGAGCGUUGUUCGGAAUUAUUGGGCGUAAAGGGCGCGUAGGCGGUGCGGUAAGUCACCUGUGAAAUCUCCUGNCUUAACUGGGAGUCUGCAGGCGAAACUACCGUGCUGGAGUGUGG